UACAGAGGUCCCAAGCGUUGUUCGGAUUUACUGGGCGUAAAGGGCGCGCAGGCGGCCAUUCAAGUCAGGCGUGAAAGCCCCGGGCUUAACCUGGGAGGUGCGUCUGGGACUGGGUGGCUAGAGAUCGGGAGAGGAGAGUGGAAUUCCCAGUGUAGAGGUGAAAUUCGUAGAUAUUGGGAAGAACACCGGUGGCGAAGGCGGCUCUCUGGACCGAUACUGACGCUGAGGCGCGAAAGCGUGGGGAGCAAACAGG
rnacentral:rRNA from 1 species